CGCCCUUAGUGCUGAGUUAACGCAUAAGCACUCCGCCUGGGAGUACGGCCGCAAGGCUAAACUCAAAGGAAUUGACGGGGCCCGCACAAGCGGUGGAGCAUGUGGUUUAAUUCGAAGCAACGCGAAGAACCUUACCAGGUCUUGACAUCCUCUGAAAACCCUAGAGAUAGGGCUUCUCCUUCGGGAGCAGAGUGACAGGUGGUGCAUGGUUGUCGUCAGCUCGUGUCGUGAGAUGUUGGGUUAAGUCCCGCAACGAGCGCAACCCUUGAUCUUAGUUGCCAUCAUUAAGUUGGGCACUCUAAGGUGACUGCCGGUGACAAACCGGAGGAAGGUGGGGAUGACGUCAAAUCAUCAUGCCCCUUAUGACCUGGGCUACACACGUGCUACAAUGGACGGUACAAAGAGCUGCAAGACCGCGAGGUGGAGCUAAUCUCAUAAACCGUUCUCAGUUCGGAUUGUAGGCUGCAACUCGCCUACAUGAAGCUGGAAUCGCUAGUAAUCGCGGAUCAGCAUGCCGCGGUGAUACGUCCCUGGCUUGUACACACCGCCCUGCACACCAC
rnacentral:rRNA from 1 species